rnacentral:rRNA from 1 species
GACGAACGCUGGCGGCGUGCCUAAUACAUGCAAGUAGAACGCUGAAGGAGGAGCUUGCUUCUCUGGAUGAGUUGCGAACGGGUGAGUAACGCGUAGGUAACCUGCCUGGUAGCGGGGGGAUAACUAUUGGAAACGAUAGUUAAUACCGCAUAUUAGUAGAUGUUGCAUGACAUUUGCUUAAAAGGUCCAAUUGCAUCACAACAAGAUGGACUUGCUUUGUAUUAGCUAGUUGGGGGGGUAACGGCUCACCAAGGCGACGAUACAUAGCCGACCUGAGAGGGUGAUCGGCCACACUGGGACUGAGACACGGCCCAGACUCCUACGGGAGGCAGCAGUAGGGAAUCUUCGGCAAUGGACGGAAGUCUGACCGAGCAACGCCGCGUGAGUGAAGAAGGUUUUCGGAUCGUAAAGCUCUGUUGUAAGAGAAGAACGAGUGUGAGAGUGGAAAGUUCACACUGUGACGGUAUCUUACCAGAAAGGGACGGCUAACUACGUG